rnacentral:rRNA from 1 species
UACGUAGGGUGCAAGCGUUAUCCGGAAUUAUUGGGCGUAAAGAGCUUGUAGGCGGUUUGUCGCGUCUGCUGUGAAAUUUCGGGGCUCAACUCCGGGCCUGCAGCCGAUACGGGCAGACUAGAGUUCGGCAGGGGAGACUGGAAUUCCUGGUGUAGCGGUGAAAUGCGCAGAUAUCAGGAGGAACACCGGUGGCGAAGGCGGGUCUCUGGGCCGAUACUGACGCUGAGGAGCGAAAGCGUGGGGAGCGAACAGG